AACGAACGCUGGCGGCAUGCCUAACACAUGCAAGUCGAACGAGACCUUCGGGUCUAGUGGCGCACGGGUGCGUAACACGUGGGAAUCUGCCCUUUGCUUCGGAAUAACAGUUAGAAAUGACUGCUAAUACCGGAUGAUGUCGAAAGACCAAAGAUUUAUCGGCAAAGGAUGAGCCCGCGUAGGAUUAGGUAGUUGGUGGGGUAAAGGCCUACCAAGCCGACGAUCCUUAGCUGGUCUGAGAGGAUGAUCAGCCACACUGGGACUGAGACACGGCCCAGACUCCUACGGGAGGCAGCAGUGGGGAAUAUUGGACAAUGGGCGAAAGCCUGAUCCGGCAAUGCCGCGUGAGUGAUGAAGGCCUUAGGGUUGUAAAGCUCUUUUACCAGGGAUGAUAAUGACAGUACCUGGAGAAUAAGCUCCGGCUAACUCCGUG
rnacentral:rRNA from 1 species